CCAGGCCUGGGCGGCUCCCUUGGCAGGGAGGCCACAAUUGUUCUCCACAAGCACUUCCCCCAGCUGCCUGCAGAAGGCCAGGCAGUCACCCGGCCAGCCCUGGACUGCAGCUGCGGCCGCGCCCUAGGCGCAUCCUGGGCUGAGGCUGGAACGCUGAGACGGAGAGGGGAAAGAGAGAGAAAGUGUGAAGCGAGACUCAGAGACCCCAAGAGAGACCGAGGACCAGGGAUGGGCACCCCCAACCCCCACACCCACGCUCAGACGGGAGAGGGGAGCCCAGGUGCAGCUUGCCUCAUCUCUCGAGAGUGCCCCCGGAGCCUGGGACUGUUUGUCAAGAAUUCUGUCCCUGAAGCCCAGCCCACCAGCCACCUGGGAGGUGAUGCAAGGAUACACCUCCAGGCUCCUGCCUCCCGCUGGCCACUGGGCCCACUGACCCUGGAACCUCUUUUAGCUUUUGGACCAAAUGACCUUGCUGUUGUCACAUUCAAACAAGACUGAAGAGGAUAAGGAAGGAAGAGCCCCCAGAACAUGAAGGCCCUGGAGCCCUGCGGAGGAGCAGGGGCCACAGGGUACAGGGCUGCUAGGGGUCAGCUGUGAGCCCCCUUGGGGCCUGGACGGAACUGAGUCACACAGUAGCUGGGCAGAGCGGCAGACCAGGCCCCUGAGCACAGACAGGCAAUGUCUCAGGACAUCAAAGACAGGGGCUCCUGGGGCAGGCACCUCAGGGUCCCGUGCCUGACCCCGGUCCUGGUGUGAGUGGGGUCCACCCAGCACAAAGGGUUGUCUGAGGACACGAGUGCUUCUCUGCCGGCCUAGACAUUCGGGGUCGGGGGUCAGCCCAAGGCGAGCGGUGGCUCCACUUUUCCACAGUCAGCACCCUGCCCCACUCCCGGCCACCUGCGUUGGGCUGGGGCUGUCGUCUGCCUACAGGUGCAUGAAAGGGAUAUUUAUGCCUAUUUUUGUCCUAGCAAUUGUGGGAACCCAGAAGUGAGGCUUCCGGGGCAAGGUGUUGAAACGAGGGAUGGAGAGCGGCCCGGGCGGGCGGCCUGGGACGCAG
rnacentral:lncRNA from 1 species